rnacentral:rRNA from 1 species
CCUACGGGGCGCUGCAGUGAGGAAUAUUGGUCAAUGGACGAGCGUCUGAACCAGCCAAGUAGCGUGAAGGAUGACUGCCCUAUGGGUUGUAAACUUCUUUUAUAUGGGAAUAAAAUGUUCCACGUGUGGGAUUUUGUAUGUACCAUAUGAAUAAGGAUCGGCUAACGACGUGCCAGCAGCCGCGGUAAUACGGAGGAUCCGAGCGUUAUCCGGAUUUAUUGGGUUUAAAGGGAGCGUAGGUGGAUUGUUAAGUCAGUUGUGAAAGUUUGCGGCUCAACCGUAAAAUUGCAGUUGAAACUGGCAGUCUUGAGUACAGUAGAGGUGGGCGGAAUUCGUGGUGUAGCGGUGAAAUGCUUAGAUAUCACGAAGAACUCCGAUUGCGAAGGCAGUUCACUGGACUGCAACUGACACUGAGGCUCGAAAGUGUGGGUAUCAAACAGGAUUAGAUACCCUAGUAGUC